GACCAUUCUGCCUCCAUUUCUCUAGAAUAUACUAAAGUGGUUAGUGAGCAACAAGAGGUAACAACUGCACACUCAGUGAAUAACUUAAUUUACCUGGAGAAAACUACUACCGUAAAUCCACCAUUUUUCUUCAUUUGCACCCAACCUGGGCAUUUGCUGUGUGGGGUGGUUUCAUCUAACAAUUCAUCUUUAACUGUUUCUCUUUCCCAAAGCCUCCGGACAAUGCCUCAUGUCACCAACACCAGCAGUGCCAUGGCCAUCAGUGCAGCAGAAGUGACUUGCUUCCAGAUCCUGCUUCCAGUGGCUGUCACACUGGGCUUUGAGAUGGGACCCAGACUGCAGUUUAUUAUUAUCUUUAAAGAAGUAAAUGAGAGGGGUGACCAGUGCCCUGGAACAAGUCAUAAAGGAGCCUGUUAACCAAACCCUGCUAGUUAGGUAAGCAUUGCUGGUCUGUGGCUUCCCGUAUGGGUCUCAGAGGUGAGGUCUUCAUUCCAUCAGAUCCCUAUCAUUUGUUGAUGUCCUUAUAAACCCUUUCUACUCAAGAAAGGGCAAGAACACUAAGGAAAAUAUCAGAGUGGCAUAGAGAUUUCUUUUUAAAAGCCAGUGCCAGUGUUGUGUUGGAGUUUCUGAGGAUGCCUCUGUCCUGACCUAAUGGUGAAGAGCAUCAGAAGACAUUGAUGAGAGCUACCAGGGGUAUGGAAGGAAGGAGCAGUCUAGCAUCAUAGAAAUGAUUCCUACCGGAUUAAUGAGUGAGAAAUGAAGUACCAUAAUCAAAGAUUACCAGUGAUACAGGAUUCGAAGAUAUGUCAAAUUUCUAGUUAGCUCCUCUUACCUAUAGAAAGGUCACAGAUGGAUAAUUGGCAAGUAGGGUCAAUAAGAGGACAUCCAGAUUAAAGAAGAGUGGACACUUAGCAUUUACUAUGAAAGUCUUCUCUCUCUCCUUAAUUACUUCUUUGUCCCUUGUGGAAUAAGCAUAUUUCUUGUAGAGAGCUGGGCUUUUGAAGCAAAGGCCAGUUUCCAUCUUUAUGUGAGCCACUUAGCCUCAGAGGAAAGAGAAUAACAAAACAUAAAACAAACAAAAAUUUCAUAAGAGUAACAACAAAGGUAAAGGGCUAGGAAGUAAAAUUAGAAAAGCAACUCAAAGUGUAUAUUAUGCUAACACAAACAUAUAUAAAAAAUACUGUUUCACAAGGCUCAGGGUGGC
rnacentral:lncRNA from 12 species